rnacentral:rRNA from 1 species
UACGGAGGAGGCAAGCGUUAUCCGGAUUCACUGGGUUUAAAGGGUGCGUAGGAGGGCAGGGAAGUCAGUGGUGAAAUCUCCGAGCUUAACUCGGAAACUGCCGUUGAUACUCUCUGUCUUGAAUCCCGUGGAGGUGAGCGGAAUAUGUCAUGUAGCGGUGAAAUGCUUAGAUAUGACAUAGAACACCAAUUGCGAAGGCAGCUCGCUACACGAAGAUUGACUCUGAGGCACGAAAGCGUGGGGAUCAAACAGG